UACGAAGGGGGCUAGCGUUGUUCGGAAUUACUGGGCGUAAAGCGCGCGCAGGCGGUUUUUCAAGUCAGUGGUGAAAGCCCGGAGCUCAACUCCGGAACUGCCAUUGAAACUGUAAAACUUGAGUACGAGAGGGGUGAGUGGAAUUCCCAGUGUAGAGGUGAAAUUCGUAGAUAUUGGGAAGAACACCGGUGGCGAAGGCGGCUCACUGGCUCGUAUCUGACGCUCAGGCGCGACAGCGUGGGGAUCAAACAGG
rnacentral:rRNA from 1 species